rnacentral:lncRNA from 1 species
AAUAAAAAUAUCUGCUGAGUGAAUAAUCGUGAAUGAAGAUAGUCAUGGAGCCUUGUGACCUGUUCAUAAAAGAGCCCUCCAAGUUUCCCACUUCUCAGAAAUGCUGGUCAGCUUAAUUCAUGGCCUCCAAAAGGAGACUGAGCUCUUCACAGGAAAAUGGCUGAAUCUUGCUGGCUCGGGGAGGGAGAGUGCAUAUGAAUACGGAAUAUAGCUUACCUGCAUCUAGAACAAUCUUUGCGUACUGGGCGUGUACUACAAAAAUCAGAAGAAAUGCAUAACGCAGAACUGAGCUGGCGUCCGCCUGAAGGGUAAGGUGGCCCGGCUCCUCCAACUGGCUCUCAGGGACACUAAAGCUCCUCACUCAGCAAUUAUACCUGCUGGAGCCACACCCAAGCCCGGAGCACCCUCACGCCUUUGUCUCUUGGGGAUGGGAGGGUGCUGGUGAGCACCAAUGAAAUCCUCGAGGAGAUUACAAAUAAUUAAAGGAGAUCCACAGUU